AGUAAUACUUGGGUAAUCUACCCUUGAGUGGGAAACAACCUGCCGAAAGGCGGGCUAAUGUCCCAUAAGACCACAGGAGCGCAUGCUCCAGGGGUCAAAGCUCCGCAAGGGGCGCUUUUGGAGGAACCCGAGUCCUAUCAUGGUAGUUGGUGAGGUAACGGCUCACCAAGCCUUUGACGGGUAGCCGGCCUGAAAGGGUGAUCGGCCACACUGGCACUGAGACACGGGCCAG
rnacentral:rRNA from 1 species